UACGUAGGGUGCAAGCGUUGUCCGGAAUUAUUGGGCGUAAAGAGCUCGUAGGCGGUUUGUCGCGUCUGCUGUGAAAACGCGAGGCUCAACCUCGCGCCUGCAGUGGGUACGGGCAAACUAGAGUACUGCAGGGGAGACUGGAAUUCCUGGUGUAGCGGUGAAAUGCGCAGAUAUCAGGAGGAACACCGGUGGCGAAGGCGGGUCUCUGGGCAGUAACUGACGCUGAGGAGUGAAAGCGUGGGGAGCGAACAGG
rnacentral:rRNA from 1 species